CUUUCUUAGUCCCAUAAGUGGACGCAGACGCUUGCGGUAGCCGAAAGGUAUUAAACAAGUGAAAGUGGAAAAUCGUGCGAGAGCUGCUUUUUGUGCACAGGUCGAUUGACUGUAGAUUCCUUGACCAGAUAUACCGUUUGCAUGGGGGGGCCCUGUUAAUCCGACAACUCGUAGCUUGGAUGUAACUGACGGCGACUGCCAUAUCGGGUGACUGGAUACACAGCUGCCUGAUGUUGGAGACGUAGAUCAUAUUUAUGAAGUUAAUCAAGACAUUCGGUUUUCUUCCGUAGUCGCGAGACCUGCUGUUGUUCCCCGAGAAGCCCUCACGGUGUCCGUUACUUCAUGCCUCGUACAAGCUAUCCUCCUUGUGAAACGUAUGUUGAUCCUGUGUUCUUCACCGUCAGUUCGCAAAGGAAGAGGGGCCUUGAAGAUUCCCGCACCUGAUCGGCGACUAUGAAGGUAGAUUUUUUUAUCCACUGACGACGGUGUUACGCCAAGUUUCUCUAUUCCGUAGCCGCUUGUUAGAAAAAUAACGCAUUCACCGACAUGGUUCGGGGUCGAGCGCGGACGCACACCUGACAUACUAGCAGGGCUGGCGUAUUGCGACCUUUUUUGUGUGAUGAACGUGCGCUAUAGUGGGGAUAGGUGAUGGCGGUGUCCCUUACUUCAUGUUGCUAGGAAGCCGUUUACACGGAAAUCCCUGUGCUCAGUUGUGCAAUCUUGCCGGAAGUGACUUGACCGUUGUCACAAACAGCUCAGCUGUGAGAAGCUCUCUUGAUUUUAAGUGGUCCAGUUGUGCAAAACGUGACAUCUACCCACAAGUUCCUCUUUUUUCGUAGGGCACACACCGAAGGAGGCAAGCAUUUUUCGGGGUGUACCCACAGCAGCUGCAACGAUGCCGGCGCGGAGCGGAAAGGCGAAAACUCUACACGUCGUCCCACUACUAAAUUCGUGAAGACGAAGAAAAGCUUCAUUUGAAAGCGCGAGACUGAAGUUCGUCUUCGUGCGGAAUGAUGAGCUGUUCUUUUGUCCGGCUCUGUAAGAAUAAUCUGAAGGCUGCAAAUGAAACGAGGAGACCUUGAGACGACGGCGUGGAGAGUGAAGGACGACACUUUGUGUUCGACUCACUGCGGUGUUUCUAUCACCCGUGCCGCCAAACUGUAAGAAACACCGCGUGAGGUAGGAUGAACAGAGGUGGAAACGUGUGAACUGCUUUCACACAAAUUCCGUGAGGCCGUUCACAAAGUUGCGGAUGUACCACUUCGGUAGUCGUCCGUGCCACGAAAGCGUCGUAGUGAGCUUCUUCUACCGCUUCCCCAGCGUAGCUACUACGAAAGACUCAUCAUGCGCUCUCCCGUGUCAUCAGCCCCAACGUUACUGCAGAGCAGCAUUUGUAUCCUUUCAAAACGGUUACACUGAUUGCAAUGUUUUCUGCAUCAUUUUCAGCCACAAAAGAUGAAUAACGCAUUUGUAAUUAUUACGACAACCCGCGAAAGCGGGUCUCUGAGCCUCAUUAUCACAAGGUAGUCGUCUGUGCGUGUGCUUCGAAUGCGCGUGAACUAUAUCGUCAGCCGAAGAGCCGUGGCUUCGAGUAGCAUCAUUUGAGUGAUUUUCUUCGGAGAACAUUACUACAUGACUCUUACAUAUCCAUGACGCAAAGCAGGUGUUGCUCGCAAGAGACCGACGACACUAGACACAAAUCAACUACCACGAAAACACGGAAUAAACUGCGUCGUGCGUGGAUGAAUGUGUCCAUGGUGCCGUGUGUUUGGGUAUCUGACAACGCAGCCCGAUGUGUGGGGCUGCUAACGGUCUUACGAGCAAAUACUAACGUCGAUGCGAACGCCUACCAAGUCUGUUACCGCUGUCAACACUGACUAAUGCUUUGUUCAGUUCGUGGUACCCUGUCACGGAAAGAGCGUGUUUGAAUUUCAUCUGGUAACGAAGGAACCGGCUUUAAAUGAAUUGUUUCUUUGUGAAAAUUGCUUUUUUCUGUCAAGAGGCUCUCUGGGAUGGUGAGCCGAGGAACUCUCAACCUGCCUAAAUGAACAAGAGUCCGUUUCUGCCCACGUGGAAGUGCCAUUCUCUUUGAUGGGUGAUGCGCGAAUCCCUCGUGCACAUAAAUGUAAACGAGCUCAGGCGAGUGGCAUGAUUGAAAAGUUCGCACCGCGGGGAAAACAAAUAUGCUCGUCCAGCUUGGAAGACCAUGUUGCAUGGGGAGCGACGUUGGUCUUCGACGGUAGCUGCCUCGAGAAUAAGUAGCGGAGUCGUGUAACUACGGCAUACAACAGACCAUUUUGCUUUGGACUCGUUCACGCGUGGAAAAAAGUAGCAGAAAUGGAAGCAUGCAUGUGAUUUCUCUUCUGUGGAGGCUUCGCUUUAUGUCAACGUGAACUGAGUUCUACAGAGACGGCGUUUCUGGGCAGCCGCUUCAUGAAGGAGAUCAAGUUCCUGAGGUUUCUUCAAGGUGCCCUUGGGCAAGAACUUCGCCAGUUCAGCAUGCUCCCGCAGGAGCCGCAGGCGCUCUUGCUCGACAACCGUUUGUUUCUCUUCUUCAACUGCAGCCAACCGUUCCCAAGUCUGCUUUUCCGCUUCUCUCUCUGCUUCAAAUAGUUGUCGUCGUUGGAUGAUCAACCGUUCUACCUGAGCGUGAAAAAGGAACGAGUCCAUUUUUUUCCGUUUUCCGUCACCCCAGAGGAUACCGCUCCGAUAACAAAAGGCAAAAAGGCAGCCUGAUGACCUAUCGGUUGAACGGAUGGAACCAGUCUUUUUUUGUGAGAAACAAUAACGAGCUAGGCUCAGUCCCUGAGGUGAUUGAACAGGCUGACAAGCGUGUGGCAUCAGCGGGUAUUUUGAUGCGGAACGUCCCUGGGGUAACAAGAUCUUUGCACGUGGAGCGAACCAGCCAAGUACUGUUUUGCAGCAGCCCCUCCCUAGAAAUCCUUACUUGACGCAUGUGCUCUUGAAUCCUCAAGCGCUUCUUCUGCUC
rnacentral:lncRNA from 1 species